AGAGUUUGAUCCUGGCUCAGGAUGAACGCUGGCGGUAUGCUUAACACAUGCAAGUCGAACGGUGUCUUCGGACACAGUGGCGGACGGGUGAGUAACGCGUGAGAAUCUGGCUUUAGGUCUGGGACAACCACUGGAAACGGUGGCUAAUACCGGAUGUGCCCUGCGGGGUGAAAGAUUAAUUGCCUGAAGAUGAGCUCGCGUCUGAUUAGCUAGUAGGUGGUGUAAUAGACUACCUAGGCGACGAUCAGUAGCUGGUCUGAGAGGACGAUCAGCCACACUGGGACUGAGACACGGCCCAGACUCCUACGGGAGGCAGCAGUGGGGAAUUUUCCGCAAUGGGCGAAAGCCUGACGGAGCAAUACCGCGUGAGGGAGGAAGGCUCUUGGGUCGUAAACCUCUUUUCUCAGGGAAGAACACAAUGACGGUACCUGAGGAAUAAGCAUCGGCUAACUCCGUGCCAGCAGCCGCGGUAAUACGGAGGAUGCAAGCGUUAUCCGGAAGGAUUGGGCGUAAAGCGUCCGCAGGUGGCUGUGUAAGUCUGCUGUUAAAGAAUCUAGCUCAACUAGAUACAAGCAGUGGAAACUACACGGCUAGAGUACGUUCGGGGCAGAGGGAAUUCCUGGUGUAGCGGUGAAAUGCGUAGAGAUCAGGAAGAACACCAGUGGCGAAGNNNNCUCUGCUAGGCCGUAACUGACACUGAGGGACGAAAGCUAGGGGAGCGAAUGGGAUUAGAUACCCUAGUAGUCC
rnacentral:rRNA from 1 species